UGGGGAAUAUUGGGCAAUGGAGGGAACUCUGACCCAGCGACGCCGCGUGAGUGAAGAAAUCCCUCGGGAUGUAAAGCUCUGUUGUGUGGGAAGAUAAUGACGGUACCACACGAGGAAGCCCCGGCAAACUACGUGCCAGCAGCCGCGGUAAUACGUAGGGGGCAAGCGUUGUCCGGAAUUACUGGGCGUAAAGCGCACGCCGGCAGAUUAAUACGUCAGUUGUAAAAUGCACGGGCUCAACUCGUGUUUGUCGACUGAUACUGUUAGUCUAGAGUAUGUGAGAGGGAAGGGGAAUUCCCGUUGUAGCGGUGAAAUGCGUAGAUAUCGGGAGGAACACCAGUGGCGAAGGCGGCUUCCUGGCACAAAACUGACGCUCAUGUGCGAAAGCUAGGGCAGCGAACG
rnacentral:rRNA from 1 species